AUUGAACGCUGGCGGCAGGCCUAACACAUGCAAGUCGAGCGGAUGAAGGGAGCUUGCUCCUGGAUUCAGCGGCGGACGGGUGAGUAAUGCCUAGGAAUCUGCCUGGUAGUGGGAGAUAACGUCCGGAAACGGGCGCUAAUACCGCAUACGUCCUGAGGGAGAAAGUGGGGGAUCUUCGGACCUCACGCUAUCAGAUGAGCCUAGGUCGGAUUAGCUAGUUGGUGGGGUAAAGGCCUACCAAGGCGACGAUCCGUAACUGGUCUGAGAGGAUGAUCAGUCACACUGGAACUGAGAAACGGUCCAGACUCCUACGGGAGGCAGCAGUGGGGAAUAUUGGACAAGGGGCGAAAGCCUGAUCCAGCCAUGCCGCGUGUGUGAAGAAGGUCUUCGGAUUGUAAAGCACUUUAAGUUGGGAGGAAGGGCAGUAAGUUAAUACCUUGCUGUUUUGACGUUACCAACAGAAUAAGCACCGGCUAACUUCGU
rnacentral:rRNA from 1 species